rnacentral:tRNA from 1 species
GGGGCGUGGCUCAGCCUGGCUAGAGCGCCUGGUUCGGGACCAGGAGGUCGGUGGUUCGANNACAACAUCAGAGUCCUA